UACGUAGGGUGCGAGCGUUGUCCGGAAUUACUGGGCGUAAAGAGCUCGUAGGUGGUUUGUCGCGUCGUCUGUGAAAUUCCGGGGCUUAACUCCGGGCGUGCAGGCGAUACGGGCAUAACUUGAGUACUGUAGGGGAGACUGGAAUUCCUGGUGUAGCGGUGAAAUGCGCAGAUAUCAGGAGGAACACCGAUGGCGAAGGCAGGUCUCUGGGCAGUUACUGACGCUGAGGAGCGAAAGCAUGGGUAGCGAACAGGAUUAGACUACCCCGUAGUCC
rnacentral:rRNA from 1 species